UUCAAGGAUCUGUACAUGGCUUGGAUGAGUUGUGCUGGCCUGAGGUGUCUUUUCUUGCGCAGAAUUGAUGUUUUGACUAUGCAAAACCAUUGUUCAACAUGAUAGUUUGUGUCUCUUUUUUUGUGAUGUUCUGGAAUAGGCAACUCUGCCUUGUCAUAGGCAUAUCUUUUGAGGUCUCCAAGAAGAACCCCACUCCAGAGUGGAUAGACGCCCAUAUAAUUGUCAAGAAGAAAGGUGAUUACUUCUGGACAGUAAUACAGAUUUUCUUCAUGUUGUGGAUUUUCAUCCUCCACAAUGGCUUUGACAUCAUCAUGAAUGCCUUGAAAAAGUCUGGAGUAUGGUGAACUACCAACAGUUGUAGCAGAUAAACUGUCCCCCACCUCCAGCUUUUCAGGCACCUCUUCUGUUGUAUCCUGAAGAAUGGCAUCUUCGCUGGAAAUUAGGCCCUCCAAAAAUGCAAGACUUUCUCUCACAGUUUGGCUGAAUUUCCUUGCAAUAAAAACUGUGCAAAAGGGUUUGAAAAUUGCAAGGGCAUCACUGAGGCUAACUGUGUUUUGCAGUCUUGCAAAAACAUGGCAGAUGUCCUCUCAAGGUAAGCUGGCAUGGUUUCCUUGUUGAAGGCUAAGAGGACAGCCUGCAUCAUCGCCAAACUAUAGUCGGUCUCCACUUUGUGAAUGUGCUGACUGGUGUAUUAAGACAGUUUGAGGAGAAACUGCAUCAGCCAAAAUGAUAUUGGGGGAACGGAAUGCUCACUGGCAAUCAUUUCGGAUACUGGAAGCAGAGGAGCAUCUCUUCCUUUGCCAGGCAAGGUGAACUCUGAAGGGAUUGACCUGGAAGUGUUGGACAUAUCCAGGUGCAAAAUAUGAGGUGAUAUCGCAAUGUUUGAUGAUCGACUGGGUGAGCUGAGUCUCAAGCAGGAUAUUGUCAUGUGUUCGCAGUUUUUUCUUGAUUUCAUGGGAAAUUACUUUAAGAAUAUUUUUACUGAGGCUGUAGCUGAUGUUACCUGCCAGAAGUUCUUGGACAGGGGUGUUUUGCAGCCUCUUGUAAUAUUUGUUACUCUCUCCUUGAAUGACAGUUUUGGCAAUUGAUCCCCUUUUAAUAUUGCUGGCAUGUCUAAAAUGUUGUUCUUUUUUUAAAUGCAGGAUUUUACCAGCACGGCUAACAGUUAUAGGAAUAACUGUUUGAUGUUUGGAUGGUUUAGUCUUGAUGGAAAAGGAGUACCUUGCCCAGCAGGUGGAAAAUGUACAUUUCGCACGUACAUUUAAAUAAACACUCCUGCGCUUUCGGCUCCUGAUAGCUCUAACGUGCUGGUAAAUGAAGCGGAGAGGACAGCAAAGGGUUUUUUUUUUCUGAACUGAUCAUAAAAGUAAUGGGUCCAUGGCUUUCUCGGUUUAUUUGAGUGGUUGAAUUUGUUUCCACACUUUUGAAGACGUGUAUUGUAAAUUUCUUUGGUGUUUGUGGCACACAUCUGUAUGGCUUAUCACCCGUUUUUGUUUCAGUUUUUGUCUGUUUUUCUGGCACAUUUUGGCAUUCAGUGAUUGUGGCACUGUGGUGGUUUUGGUUUGAGGGAUCCUCCUCAGGACUGUCAGACAUUUGAAAUGUGUCGGACUCUACAGACUCCCCUCUCUCCCCUACUGUUUGAUUUUGUUGUGUUUUGGAUAGCACCGUUUCUUCUGUUAACCCCCUGAUGUUCCUUCUAUUGUAAGUCCAAAUGACAAAAAGCCAUUGCCUAUUUUUGUGUGUGUUUUGGCCAAUCUGUGCCAUAUGGGGGAAUUAAAAGCAGUGUUCUUGCUCUGAAUAUCUUCAGAAGUGAAACAUUUUUUUAUCACCUCAAUUCCUCCUGCUGCAGUCCAGAGGUCUUUCCGUGCUGCUCCCUUCCCUCUUUUAGAUUUUGCCAUCCUGUAUUCGAUUUUUGUUUUUUUGUAUACAGCUUUAUUCAGUUUAGUAUUGGCAGUACUGGAUUUUCAAACGGCUUUUAAAACAUUUCAAACUAGCAGUAGGUGUUUUCAAUCAAAGAUAAUUUAAUACAUAUGUUGGUGGUUUUCAAACUGUGAAGCAAUGUGAACUUGGUUUUAUUGUUUGUUGUUAAUUAAC